rnacentral:lncRNA from 1 species
UCAUGAUCCACCCACGUUGGCCUCCCAAAGUGCUGGGAUUACAGGCGUGAGCCACCGCCCCUGGCCAGGAUUGCUUUUACAGCCAGUCUUCAGGUGCCCACUGUAGGAACAAUGUCAUUUAACCCUCGGGAUUAUUCUGUGCCAAAUAUGGAUAAUGACUAAUAUCCAACACAGAUAUUCUCAGCUCAGAAGAGCAAUUAGCAAAUUCAUAAAUUAAGUGCUUGCUUCCUCUUUAGUCAAAUACAAACGUUUGUUAAAAGAUAUUAUUUUGCUUUACACUUUUUCUCUCAGAAAUAAGCAGAUGCUUGAAUUCCCACAGUGCUGCUUGAGCCUCACACCAUGUCAUCCUGCCAGGCACCCAGAUCCAGUUCUAGAGUUUCACAUGAUCGGUCAUCAGCCUUCAAGCUUCAGUCUCUGUGUGUUCACAGGUGCUGUAAACACACGCAUCACUACUAAUAUCCCACUUCAGUGCUAUUGCUGCUCCCAAAACUCCAGCUGGCACACUUUUUCCAGUAGCCAUUCUACUUGGUAUGCUUACUUAUCAGCUGUCCUCCAGGGGCCUCACAUUAGAUGUUUCUCUGACUAACCAAACAUGACACACAGCUGAAGUCAGAAAAACCAGAUUGAUAAUUUCACUCAAACUAUUUUCCUUCAUUCUAACAAUUUACUGGAGUACACAAUUGUGACUAUUUUUAGCCAUAGGAACUCAUAGAAAGACCAACUUCAUUAGACCUACAAAAUCGAAUUGUGUAACAGUAUAUGCAGUAUGUGUAGGAAUAAAAAGCAUUUCUCAAAUAUGCAGUACUGGAUUUUGCAAAAGCACCUUACACUUAGCUAUAAAGGAGUGGAAAACACAAAGAUGAGUAACUGCACUUUUCAAAAGACUAGAGCUAUACCAAUAAUACAAAGGUGUAAACAAAUAAUGAUGAGAUGACAAAGGCUGAGUGUUUUCUAUUUGGAAGCUAUGUUGUUGAGUUAUUUAUGUAUAUAAUUUCAUGCAAUCUUCAUGUUAUGGGGAUGUUCUAAUCCACUGUGACUCUGUCCUUAAAUAAAAGGGAGAUUUGGACAUAGAGAGAGGCACACGGGGAGGAUGCCAUAUGAGAAUUGACACUGUGCUGUCACAAGCCAAGGAACUACUGGAAGGAGAGAAAGAGGACUGGAACAGUUCCUUCCUUAGCACCUUUUCAGGCAGCCUAGCCCUGCCAGCUUCUUGAUCUGGACUUCUCACCUCUAGAAUUGUGAGGCAAUAAAUCUCUGUUGCUUAAGUUA